rnacentral:rRNA from 1 species
GAUUAUGGCUCAGAACGAACGCUGGUGGCGUGCUUAUACAUGCAAGUCGAGCGAGGCAGCAAUGCCGAGCGGCGAACGGGUGAGUAACGCGUAAGCAAUCUGCCCCAUAUCAGGAAAUACCCGUGCCAACGCGCGGUUAAUGUCCAGGAGAGUGGCCCUCUGCAUGGAGGGUUGACUAGAGAUUUAUCGGUAUGGGAUGAGCUUGCGUCCGAUUAGCUAGUUGGCGGGGCAACGGCCCACCAAGGCGACGAUCGGUAGCCGGCCUGAGAGGGUGAUCGGCCACAUUGGGACUGAGAUACGGCCCAGACUCCUACGGGAGGCAGCAGUAGGGAAUACUGCACAAUGGGGGAAACCCUGAUGCAGCAACGCCACGUGUGGGAAGAAGCAUUUCGGUGUGUAAACCACUGUCAUGAGGGAAUAAGGCCCUUAUUCGUAAGGGAUUGAAUGUACCUUGAGAGGAAGCACCGGCAAACUUCGUGCCAGCCGCAGC